GGAGGAGUGCCCAGCAGGGAGGCGAAGCUCCUGUUUUUUCCUCUUCUUGGUGGACCCUCUCUGGCUCUGUGAGGUGCGUCCUAUCUGAACCUCUCCAACCGCAGCGGCAGUAUUGGAACCUGUAUGAAGAGACGAGAGCCUGAGAUGAAGUGAUUGGCCCUCUUAGAAGCCGUGUGCCCUCUAAGCCAGGAUGGAGCUAAUGUCCCUUGUUUCCUAGAAAAGCUGACGACUAUCUGUUGAAGAUAGACAGACGGCCCAGUACAGAGGUUCAGCACCCAGUUAAGGAUGAGGGUUCUAGAGUUACACAAGCCCAGGUGUGAGUCCUGGCGCUGUCAGGGUGUGUGAGGCCAUGAAUGCUGCUUCUCUUCCCUGGAGAGCUCCCAGCAUAGGGACCCUCUCCAACACACAAUGGAAACAACAACGAAAACCGAACCCAAAGCAAACAAACACAACAAAAGCCCCCCCUUUCCAACCCCCAGUAAACUAGGCUCCUUGUUCUUUUGGCCUGGCAGGAUGUCACAGAGAUGUUGCUGGCAAAGUUUCCUCCUUGUGCACAUCCUUUGUGCACGCAGAUGUUCCUGGGGGAGAACGUACAUGCUUAUUUCCCUUAAGGGAGAAACGCAUGAACCCUGUUCCUCAGCAGGUGUUGGGCAUGCAGACACAGAUCGGAUAGACAGGCGAGUGAGUAGGCGUGGGGACAGUGAGAGGAGGGCCCUGGGCUAGCCAUCCCCAUGAGCAAGAGGAGUCGGAUAUGUUUAGCUGGCCCAGCAGGAAGCCCAAAGGAGGAAGUCAGUGAGGGUCUGGGAGAGUCGAAUCCAUGCUGAGACCCAGCCUGUACCUGUGGUAGGUACAGCUGUGUUCUGGGCAUUAGCAGCUUUGCUCAGCAAUAGUAACUCAAGGUGAGAGUGAUCUCUACCAACAGGACCCCGGCCCCUGAGAUGGACACAGGUCAGCAGCUUUAAAGAACCGAAACACAUUUGGGAGGGAGUUGAGUAGAGACGAUCAUGUCUCUGGUAAGUCAAGCACACGAGGGGUUAGAGCAUUUGAAUUUGGAGCCACUGAUUAAUCACACAACCUACGUGAUUUCACUCACAUGCUGGGAAAUACUGUUUGCACAUACAAUUAUCCAAUUUAUUCCCCUAAUAACCUUGCGAAGUUUUUAUGGUGUUUUUCAGAUCAGCACUAUGGAAGUCUGGAGAGAUUUAAAUCACACGCUCAAAGUCACAGAUGCCAAAAUGACUCCUAGAGGGAAAACAAAUCGUGUUGAUUUCAAAGUCAGUUCGGUCCAUGUCCACUGACCUAGCUAAAUUUUGCUUGAAUACAUUUUCCAUUACAUCUCCCUCCCGCACUUGGGUUUGCUGGCAGAGACACGGCCGUGACUUUCUGUGGCUGAGAGAGGCACAGUGUCUGGGGAAGUGAGCAGAUUCUGCAGCCAAGGGGCAAGCAUCUGUAUCCUGCCUGCACUGCUCACUGGCCUUAAGGCCCCGGGGGAGGGAACUGAUUUCUCUGUACCCCAGGUUCCUCAUCUGCAAAGUGAGAUGUAUUAGUCAGGGUUCUUCAGAGACAU